rnacentral:rRNA from 1 species
UACAGGGGGGCAAGGCGUUGUUCGGAAUUACUGGGCGUAAAGGGCGUCGUAGGCGGCCAACUAAGGUCCGACGUGAAAUCCCCGCUUAACCUGGGAACUGCGUCGGAUACUGGAUGGCUUGAAUUCGGGAGAGGGAUGCAGAAUUCCAGGUGUAGCGGUGAAAUGCGUAGAUAUCUGGAGGAAUACCGGUGGCGAAGGCGGCAUCCUGGACCGAACAUGACGCUGAUGAGCGAAAGCUA